rnacentral:rRNA from 1 species
GACGAACGCUGGCGGCGUGCUUAACACAUGCAAGUCGAACGGAAAGGCCCUGCUUUUGUGGGGUGCUCGAGUGGCGAACGGGUGAGUAACACGUGAGUAACCUGCCCUUGACUUUGGGAUAACUUCAGGAAACUGGGGCUAAUACCGGAUAUGAGCUCCUGCUGCAUUGUUGGGGGUGGAAAGUUUCGGCGGUUGGGGAUGGACUCGCGGCUUAUCAGCUUGUUGGUGGGGUAGUGGCUUACCAAGGCUUUGACGGGUAGCCGGCCUGAGAGGGUGACCGGCCACAUUGGGACUGAGAUACGGCCCAGACUCCUACGGGAGGCAGCAGUGGGGAAUAUUGCACAAUGGGCGGAAGCCUGAUGCAGCAACGCCGCGUGCGGGAUGACGGCCUUCGGGUUGUAAACCGCUUUCGCCUGUGACGAAGCGUGAGUGACGGUAAUGGGUAAAGAAGCACCGGCUAACUACGUG